rnacentral:rRNA from 1 species
UUCGCGGCCCUUUAUCAGCUUGUUGGUGGGGUAAUGGCCUACCAAGGCGACGACGGGUAGCCGGCCUGAGAGGGCGACCGGCCACACUGGGACUGAGACACGGCCCAGACUCCUACGGGAGGCAGCAGUGGGGAAUAUUGCACAAUGGGCGAAAGCCUGAUGCAGCGACGCCGCGUGAGGGAUGACGGCCUUCGGGUUGUAAACCUCUUUCAGCAGGGAAGAAGCGCAAGUGACGGUACCUGCAGAAGAAGCGCCGGCUAACUACGUGCCAGCAGCCGCGGUAAUACGUAGGGCGCAAGCGUUGUCCGGAAUUAUUGGGCGUAAAGAGCUCGUAGGCGGCUUGUCACGUCGGAUGUGAAAGCCCGGGGCUUAACCCCGGGUCUGCAUUCGAUACGGGCUAGCUAGAGUGUGGUAGGGGAGAUCGGAAUUCCUGGUGUAGCGGUGAAAUGCGCAGAUAUCAGGAGGAACACCGGUGGCGAAGGCGGAUCUCUGGGCCAUUACUGACGCUGAGGAGCGAAAGCGUGGGGAGCGAACAGGAUUAGAUACCCUGGUAGUCCACGCCGUAAACGUUGGGAACUAGGUGUUGGCGACAUUCCACGUCGUCGGUGCCGCAGCUAACGCAUUAAGUUCCCCGCCUGGGGGAGUACGGACC